CCCAACGCAUGCAUGUCUGUUCUGCUUCCUCUUCUCCCAAUUCUCCACCCAUCCAUCAGGUUAGCAAGAUAUUGGUGCCUUUCAAAUGUUUUCGUUCUGUGUGAUCUGCGGUGUUUUCUUGGCAUUUCUAACCAUUGAAUUAGUUUAAUCUAGAGUUUUAGUACCUUACAGCCAUCAAGUAUCGCGUGGUUGCAGUCAUGGUCGGCCAGACCGUAAACAAUCAGAUUUUAUGGUACAAAUUUGAUUUGAUUGUCUGCUUGCUGUAACUGGUUGCGAUUACGAAGCUGGAAUUCUGUCUGAUUGAUCUUAUUUCGUCAUCUGAGUUUUUCCUUCGUGGUUUGGAGGUCUGCCGCCAUUAUGAUCAAAGAUGCGUCGCUGCUGGUCGAAUAAUUGAUGCUCUCCUAUGUGGACUGAUAAAAUUCAGAAUGGAAUAACUUUGUUUUUCCAGAUCUAUAUUUCAGUGGAAUUUUGUUCUGACGUACAUUUAUUCAUAGUACCCGACCUGCAAGGUAUUGUUUGUCUCGAAUCCACUUCGAGUAGUUUGUUCGGCAAGACAUUCUCAUUGCUAAUUGGUAGAAGUCAAAAACUCUUAUCUCCAGCAUUUCUCUACAUUCAGCUUUGCAGACAGAUGUGCUGAAAAACAGAUGGUAUGUCAUCCUAAUAGCCCUUUUCUUUAUUAAUUAUUUCUUAUUCAUCGUCUGCUUUGUCGAUUUGUCUGUAGAUUUCUCCGUGUAAACAUAAACAAGGGUAUACCCUGGUCUGUGUCUACUCACAAGACGGCAGGUUUGGUCUCCUCAAAUCAUGCGACUGCCUAAGCAUCACGUCUGAAAACAUGUAGUCUUUUGAGAGGGAAAUUCGAAGAUUUUAGUUUUUGAGGAAUCACUUCUGGGAAAAUCAGAUGUUGCAUAUAUAAAUGCAGGUUCUUUUGCAGCGCACACCUAAAAUAAACAUGAUAUCGUUUUCCAAUUGUUUUCUCAUAUUCUAUUUCAAGAUGCACCUACGUUUUCCAAGAGUAUUAAGUACAAUCCAAGUAACUAACGGGUUAUUGUUUGUCAGCUACUGUUAACCUGAAGUGCUAUCUCCAUGGUGUCAUCAUAGCCUUCUAUUAUACCUAGCUGCAUUUAUAAUACAUACCAAGUUUGUUCAUGCUUUGCAGAUUGAGAUUUCUCAUAGUUGCUUUCUGAGGAACAAAUAAGGUAAAGUAUCUGAGUUGGCAGAUUUAUUAGGCAAGAUACAACCUACAUCUAUAAUCCUUUACAUCAUACGUCCUUUGCAACUUUAAUAGGAAAAAAACUUAGCUAUCUACUGUUGAUGAUGUCGUCUAAACCAUAUCAGGUGUAUGCUCAUGUCUCUCUCAAUAGUUUGAUCCCUACUUUUUAGGUGUGUUUUGCUUCUCCUAUUGUUUUUCAUUCUUACAUAAUCAUGUGGAGUACUGCCUACACUUCCUAACCAAAAGAAAUCAUGACAGCAUAUGUUAAUUUGUUAGCUAUAAAAAGGAGAGUUAGGGAACUCCCGUGUUUGUCAAACCCCAAAACAUGUAAUACUAUUACCAUUUACAGUUGCACAUAGUAUAUACCACAAUAUUUCCGUUUGUGAACUCUUAUUUUGCAUCGAGCGCCUAUGAUCUAACGGAAAUCUCCGCUUCAUUGGCCCUAUUUUGUUCUUUAAUUUAGCAUGGUUAAUUUGAACGAUUCAACAUUUGGAUGCAUGUUAAUUCAAUUACCCUUUUUUGAUGUAGGUUUAGCUAACAUAUUUUCUCUUAUGUACCUUAAAUAUUUCAAUAUUCUUACAAGGCUAACCUGUCUAUCGAGGACUAUUAUGUUAGUUAUAAAUCAAAGUUUGUGCCUUUUAUUCAUGUACUCAUUCAACAUUUCAUAUGAAAAUAUCAAUAUUCCUUCAGAUCUUUGCUUGAUCUCAUAUUUGCAUAUUUCUAUUCACAAGAUGUACUAAGUUGUUUUUCAAGGUGUUCAUAGAAGGUAGAACACACAAAUACCGCUGCAACGCGCGGGGUAUCAUGUAGUAAAUAUUAGUUUGCAUGACACCAUACAAAUGUUACUCUCCACUAUAAAGGUAGUAACAUAAGGUAGUAACAUGUGCAUGUUACUGGUCUAUGUUACUCUCCACUAUGACUAGUCUCACACACACACAUUUUCUUUCCGUUUCUUGCUGUGUGUGCCAUCUCCUUACCCCACCACACGAGUCCCAAAAAUUCCCGCUCCAAGGUCGUCCUCUUCCUCAAGAUAUCACCACAGUUAGGAGCUGCAGCUGCCCCAGACGAACGGGAGCCUGGAUGAUGCUUACCAAUUACCAGCGGGGCGGCGCUUCGGCUGGGGUGCCGUGGAGAAUCAUGCCGAUACUGGGCUACGGCUACUGGUUCGAUUCCAGGUCAGCACGCGAAGCGGGAGGCCGGUGACGCGGAAGGCCAGCAGCACGGGAAACUGGGGACGGUUGCGACCCUACUGGAGGCGAAGCGGAGCAGCGGGCGUCUAGGCUGGUGGCGGCGGGGACCUGCGGGAGCUCGCGUCCCGACCAGCGGCGGAGGCGACCUGCGGGAGCUUGCGGCCCCUCAAGUUGAGUUGGAGACCUGGGGAGGAGAUCCGCAGCGGUGGUAGGGAGUAACGCCGGUGGCCAGGAGUCGCGCGCUGUCGUGUCGGUGAUGAAUUUGGCUGCGCGAACGAAGUGCGAUGGUUUUGAUCCACUCAAUCGGAUGGCCACGAAACGGAUGCUCCAUCGAGCAAACCAGCAUCCAAAAUUGGUGGAGGCUGCCUAGCCACGUCCAUUACUUAAACAGUUUAGCAUGUCUAAUAAAAUUUCUAUUUUUCUGCCUCAUAAAACGCGAGUAGAGGACCUUGUAUCAAAAAGAAUACUCACGCAAGAACCAUUUCGUCUAACAGACCCCGUAUU